rnacentral:rRNA from 1 species
UACGUAGGGGGCGAGCGUUGUCCGGAUUUAUUGGGCGUAAAGAGCGUGUAGGCGGCCAGGUAGGUCUGCUGUGAAAACUCGAGGCUCAACCUCGAGACGUCGGCGGAAACCAUCUGGCUAGAGUCCGGAAGAGGAGAGUGGAAUUCCUGGUGUAGCGGUGAAAUGCGCAGAUAUCAGGAGGAACACCUAUAGCGAAGGCAGCUUGCUGGGACGUAACUGACGCUAAGGCGCGAAAGCGUGGGGAGCGAACAGG